CCGGAUUAGUCACCUCAGCCUAGGAAACUGGGAUGGUAUCUUCCAAAUGGUAAUGCAGGAAUUUUAAGGUAAGCACAGGGAGACAGAAACAUCUCAUGAGCAGAAAGGCAGAACUUUUGAUGGAUUUUGACUUUUCUUUAUGGAUACGGACAGUGAAAGUGAGGCUCAAUGAUCUUCAUAAUCCUUCUGACCACCGGGAUCUUAAGCAGGAGGUGUCAGAAAAUUUAUCACAGAGAUCAUUGCAAUGUGGUGGCUAAGUAUUCAUGGCAAUGCCACUGUUUGUCUGGUCCUUCGAUAUUAGCACUUCGUUGUAAAAUGUUGGUUCUUCAUUGUGAAGCAGACUUCACUGAGAGUGGGAUUGUUCACCCGUUAAUAACGUGAGCUGUGAUUAGGCAACGGUGAUACAGGACAGUU
rnacentral:ncRNA from 1 species